UCCAGCUCUCUACUUUCAAUCUAGUACUUCACUGAUUGCCUCCUAUAGGAUCGGUGAAGUACUAGAUUUAUAGUAAUGAGCUGAA
rnacentral:pre_miRNA from 1 species